CACAGAGUUAGCCGAUGCUUAUUCCUCAGAUACCGUCAUUGUUUCUUCUCCGAGAAAAGAAGUUGACGACCCGUAGGCCUUCCACCUCCACGCGGCAUUGCUCCGUCAGGCUUUCGCCCAUUGCGGAAAAUUCCCCACUGCUGCCUCCCGUAGGAGUUUGGGCCGUGUCUCAGUCCCAAUGUGGCCGUCCACCCUCUCAGGCCGGCUACUGAUCGUAGGCUUGGUAGGCCUCUACCCUGCCAACUACCUAAUCAGACGCGGGCCCAUCUUACACCACCGGAGUUUUUACCACCCUGCCAUGCGGCAAUGUGGUCUUAUGCGGUAUUAGCAGUCAUUUCUAACUGUUACUCCCCUGUGUAAGGCAGGUUGCCCACGCGUUACUCCACCCGUCCGCCGCUCACGUCACGUUCCCUCGUCCCUCCGUAAAAGUUCUAAACAAGUGCUUCCGCUCGACUUGCAUGUGUUAGGCACCGCCGCCAGCCGUUUCACUCCUGACGCCGAACGGAUACCAAAACUUCUAC
rnacentral:rRNA from 1 species